ACGACCUGUAGACGACCUGUGGACGACCUGUAGACGACCUGACAGCGGCUCAGGAUGACGGACAGCUGAUCCACUGGGACUCGACUGUGUUAAUGUGAACACAUCUAGGAAUCACCAGGAGACAAGAUGAUGGACACACAGAUGUUUCAGGCAGAGAAACCAAAGAAGAAGAAUUAUUGAGAUUGAAAUCGGCAGAAGCCGUCUUUUUCUUCUUCUUUGGUUUCAUUUGAUGAUCUGACAUGAAGUCUUAACUUCCUCAUUAACGCUGCAUUUCAUUCUGUCACCUGUUGGUGGCGUCAUUUCCUCUUUGUGUCAAAGUGACUUUUAAUCCAGUUUGAACUUUUUGAAUCCUUUGAACUUUUCUGAAUUCACAGGGUUACACAGCGCUGCACCUCGCCGCCAUCCACGGCCACCGGCAGGUCGUCCACGCCCUCAUCAACACCUUCAAUGCUAAAACCAGUGUCAGAGAUUAUCAUGGGAAGACGGCUCUUCACUACUGGAGCGGCUGCAGAGACGUCUUCACCUCAGCAGAGGCUCCGGCAGGUGGGAGGGGCCGGCGGACGCAGCGCUCCGCUCAGCCCUCGCUGCGGUUGACUCGUUCUCGGAGUCAGGGUCAGAUCCACCUGGAGUUCGGGGCGGCGCCUCAGUCGUCCGUUCAUGACACGUUGGACCUACAUGUUUGAGUUUUCACUCCUGCUGGGAAAUCUUCCUUUGAUGAAACACAACGUUCAGUCCAAUGAGAUCAACACCGACGUUCUUCUUCUCUGAUCCGCUGACGUCACACAGGGCCGAUAACCUUCUUAAUUGUGAUUGGACGUACUGGAUGAAACCUUCAUAACAGUGUGUGUCCAUGUCACUCAGAAUUCAGAGAGGAACGUUUUGUUGAUGCUCAUACAUCAUCACAAAAACCUCUGCCGAGUUAUUUAUUGAGACAGCUUCUGAUUACCCUCAAUCAGCGCACCACAAUAAUCUCAUCGUCUGAAACUUGUAUCUUAGAUCCCAUUCCUACAACAUGACUGAAAGAAAUUCUGCCGCUAAUAAAACAUACUUUACUAAAUAUCCAUCUCCCCUUCCUGUCUAAAAUCAUGAGAAGGAUGUAGCCAAUCAGCUGUGUGAGUUUCUACAGGAAAUUAAUAUGUAGAUUUUCAGUCAAGGUUUAGAGCCAAUCACAGAACGGAGAGAGUCUCGGUUAAAGUUACCAAUGACCUUCAGAUCGAGGGUUUGUGUCUUGUCCGGUUAGAUCGUAGUGCAGCAUGUAACAGUUAUUAUGGGUUAGGGUUAGUAGAGACUAGAGCAGUUAACUGGCAUCGCCAAUGACGCCAAAAAUUCCAGUUUAACCGCUCUAAACUGGUUUAAACACUAUUUUUCAGAUCGAUUCCAAUUUGUUCAAAUUAUUGAUGACUCAUCUGUGUGCACCAAAGGUAAACACGGUGAUCCUCAGGGCUCUGUGCUCGGCAGCAUUUCUUUCACCUUAUAUAUGCUUCCACUAGAGCUGCUUCAGACCUGAACUCCUCAGUUCUCUGGAGGAUCAUGUGGGAGCAGAGUGACACUCAGAUUCUCCUCCUCCCCCUGAGCUCCUGUAUAAAGUCUCAAUCCAGGAGAUGUGAACACCUGUUGGAAAUCGCAUCAUUACGAUAAGUUGACAUGAGAUAAGAUGUUCAUUCAUUGAGGAAAUUAAAACCUGACAACACAGAUCAAGGGGGAAUUGUUAGAAUACAAAACAACAUUAGGUUUCCUAAAGGUUUACCCAGCAGAAAGCUGGUGGAGGACGUGGGGCCUGGACACCAUCUGUGCUGCCGUAUGAGAGGUAGUCAGGAACCCAUCAGCAAAUAACAGAACAUGGACAAAGUCUCCAGAGACAGGUCAGCUGUCUGGCCAGCCCUGCAGGCUGCUCACUUUAUUAGGAACAGCAAACCAACUCCUCCUUCAUGGAGGUGUCACGGCUCGGAUGCUUUAAAGAGAAGCUAGAAGUCCUUCUGUGUCCGCCACAGUACUCCACGGUACUCCACGGUACUCCACAGUCCUCCACAGAGACAAUUCUGUAUGUUUACUUAGUAUUAAGAAAUGUCUUGUGUUAUCUGUUGUGCCUGUGCACUUUAUAUGUCUCACUGUGGGAGAGUGGGAAACGUUGUAUCGAUUCCUUGUAUGUUCUGAACAUGUGAAGAAAUUGACAAUAAAGCUACUUUAACUUUAACUUUAACACAGUCCUCCAAAGUACUCCACAAUACUCCACAGUCCUUCACAGUACUCCACAAUACUCCACAAUAUUCCACAGUACUCCAAAGUACUCCACAGUACUCCACAAUAUUCCACAGUACUCCACAGUACUCCACAGUAUUCCACUAGUUCAAAUGCACCAACUGGUUCAAACAUUAUAACGUUGGAGGUGAAGACUUCUUCUUCUUCUUCUUCUCUUGUUUAAUUCUGUGUCUACUUCCUGUGAUUGGUCCAAAAGUCCAAACUCUCCAACAAAGUACCAACCAACAGAACCUGGUUCAGUCUGAUCCAGACCCAGAACUCCUCUUCUGCUCUGAGGAACCUUUCACUGAUGUUCAGGACUGAACUGACGAGUCUGAAGCUCUGAAUCAAACCAGGUGUGAACGAGUCCUUUGUGUGGACUGAAAGUGACUUUUAUUCUUCUUCUGUGAAGAUGAAGAUUUUUCUGUCAUUCUCCUUCAUCUUUUAAUAAAACAUCAGGGUUUUCACUGUAAAUAAUUUUUUAACG